rnacentral:rRNA from 1 species
AUUGAACGCUGGCGGCGUGCUUAACACAUGCAAGUCGUGCGAGAAAGGUCCUUCGGGGACUGAGUAGAGCGGCGCACGGGUGAGUAACGCGUGGGUGACCUACCCAGGAGACCGGGAUAACAGUGGGAAACUGCUGCUAAUACCGGGUACGCUUCAUAUUUCACGUAUGGGGAAAGGCGGCCUCUGCUUGCAAGCUGCCACUCUUGGAUGGGCCCGCGUCUCAUUAGCUUGUUGGUAGGGUAACGGCCUACCAAGGCGACGAUGAGUAGCUGGUCUGAGAGGAUGAUCAGCCACACUGGGACUGGAACACGGCCCAGACUCCUACGGGAGGCAGCAGUGGGGAAUAUUGCGCAAUGGGCGAAAGCCUGACGCAGCGACGCCGCGUGAGGGAAGAAGGCCUUCGGGUCGUAAACCUCUGUCAGGAGGGAAGAAACCAUGGGAGUCGAAUAGGCUCUCGUGCUGACGGUACCUCCGGAGGAAGCACCGGCUAAACUCCGUGCC